ensembl:lncRNA
UAACAUCUUCCAUUUGAAGAGGAUAUUAGUUCUGUAAAGAGCGCAAAGGCCCGAGUGUGGGAAGAGAUAAGCUAAGCCUGAGGGCAGAAGACCUUGAAUACUAAGCCAAGGAAUUUGUAUUUUACUUGCUGAAUUUUUACAAUGCUGCAUCCAGCGUGUCCUUAAGUCAGUACAUCCAAAUACAAAGGCAUGUGGACGGUAUGCAGAGAGUUCUCACCAACUGGGAAUAAUACUCCAUUGCUGGAUUAAUUCAGUGGACACAUGAGAAUGAAGAAGGUCAAGGGAAUCACCCUGUUGUCUGGAACAUAACCACUGAUGGGACUUUUCUUGGUAUGCAUUUGGGUAGGAAAGUGUAAACAAAAACAUAAGAUGAUGAAUUUCAUCUGCUAUAACCAGGCUCUCCCUGAACGAUGCAUCACCCCUUACCACUCUCUCGCUGCUUCCCUUCCUGGCUUAUGUGAUAGAAGAGGACAGUUUACUGUGGACCUUGCAGGUGGAUAUCUGCAUCUGAAUCCCAGUUUUGCUACCAAGAAACAAGUUGCUUUAUCUCUGUGAACCUCACUCACCAUCUUCAUCUAUGGAAUGGAAGUGAUCAUAAUCCUGCAGCAAUGCCCUUGCUUGGGACCAUUAAAAAGUUAAUUAAAGGGCCAGCCACCAAUCUUGGACUUCCCUGGUGUUUCAGUGGUCAAGAAUCCUCCUGCCACUUAAAAAACUGGAAACAGAACUGCCUUAUGAUCCAGCAAUCCCACUGCUGAGCAUACACACUGAGGAAACCAGAAUUGAAAGAGACACAUGUACCCCAGUGUUCAUCGCAGCACUGUUUAAAAUAGCCAGGACGUGGAAGCAACCUAGAUGUCCAUCAGCAGAUGAAUGGAUAAGAAAGCUGUGGUACAUAUACACAAUGGAGUAUUACUCAGCCAUUAAAAAGAAUACAUUUGAAUCAGUUCUAAUGAGGUGGAUGAAACUGGAACCUAUUAUACAGAGUGAAGUAAGCCAGAAAGAAAAACACCAAUACAGUAUACUAAUGCAUAUAUAUUGGAGAAGGCAAUGGCACCCCAUUCCAGUACUUUUGCCUAGAAAAUCCCAUGGAUGGAGGAGCCUGGUAGGCUGCAGUCCAUGGGGUCGCUAGAGUUGGACACGACUGAGUGACUUCACUUUCACGCAUUGGAGAAGGAAAUGGCAACCCACUCCAGUGUUCUUGCCUGGAGAAUCCCAGGGAUGGGGAAGCCUGGUGGGCUGCCGUCGAUGGGUUGCAGAGUUGGACAUGACUGAAGCGACUUAGCAGCAGCAAUGCAUAUAUAUAGAAUUUAGAAAGAUGGUAACAAUAACCCUGUAUACGAGACAGCAAAAGAGACACUGAUGUAUGGAACAGUCUUUUGGACUCUGUGGAAGAGGGAGAGGGUGGGAUGAUUUGGGAGAACGGCAUUGAAACAUGUAUAAUAUCAUAUAUGAAACGAGUUGCCAGUCCAGGUUUGAUGCACGAUACUGGAUGCUUGGGGCUGGUGCACUGGGACGACCCAGAGGGAUGGUAUGGGGAAGGAGGAGGGAGGUGGGUUCAGGAUGGGGAACACAUGUAUACCUGUGGUGGAUUCAUUUUGAUAUAUGGCAAAACCAAGCAAUACUGUAAAGUUAAAAAAAAAAAAAAAAAAAGAAUCCUCCUGCCGGUGCAGAGGACAUGGGUUCGAUCAAUCCCUGGUCUGGGAAGAUUCCACAUGCGGUGGAGCAACUAGGCCUGUGCGCCAUAACUGCUGAGCCUGCAGCUGCAAUUCCUGAAACCCAUGUGCCUAGAAUCUGUGCUCCACAACAAGAGAAGUCACGACAAUGAGAAGACCUCAAACCCCGAUGAAAAGUAGCCCCUGCUCUCCUAAACCCACUCCCAGCAACAAAGACCCAGCACAGCCAAAAAUCCGGAAGUGCUAGCCACCAGUCUGAAUAUCACCUUUUCUAUACAGGGCACUGGGGUCUUAGAUUACUAAGCACAGUUGAGACAAGCUGCCUUUGAGGCUUCGGUUUCUAAAAUUUGGUAGAAAGAGCCUCACCUUGGGGCAAUACAGUAGCCUCAUUUUUGGUUUUCUCUUUGGUGAGCUCUUUGAGGGCAUGACUAGCCUUUAUCUUGUUUACUUUCCAUUCUCAGAACAUUUCUAGUGCCAACUGAUACUCAGUAAAUGAUUGCUGAUUAAUAACUAUAUAUUUGGGGGAAGCUCAAAGACAGCAUGACUUUUUUGUACCAAAAAGCUUAUUAUAGAAUCCACUUUAUGUAAGACUCAUGUUUCUUCAACUUAUUUCUUUUUUUUUAUUCUAAUUUUUUUUUUCAAUUGAAAUGACUAUUCUUGCUUGGAGAAUCCCAUGGACAGAGGAGCUUAGCAGUGUACAGUCCAUAGGGUCCCAAAGGGUCAGACACAACUGAAGCGACUUAGCACGUGUAAUUAAUUUACAAAGCUGUGUUAGUUUCAGGUCAGUUGGUUCAGUUAUACACAUAAGGCUCUCUUUGUACAGUCAAUAUUUUCUCCACAAGAGUCUUUUUUUACUUAAUUGAAGUUUCUUUCCUAUCCCCUUCUUUUAAGCGAAGUUAUCAAAAAAACAGAUGGUUAUGUGCAUCCAUAACCACAUACCAACAAUGCAAAGCAGUGACGUGACCCUAAGUGGGCAGAGUGGUAACUAGGAAUGCAGGUCCUGUUACUUUAUCUGGAUUCAAGUCCUCACUCUGUAGUUGGGUGACUGGGCAGGUUGAUUCACCUCUCUGAGUCUUGGUUUCCUCCUUCUCUGUAAAAUAGAAAUAGCAACACACAAAAAAGGAAAUAAUAUAAAUAAUUAAAAUGGUACCUACCCUUUGGAGGGCAGUUAAGGAUGACAGUGUGAAAGUCACUAUCCAGCUCACCCAGCAGCAUCUGGCCUGUGGCUAGUGCUUUCCGAACUGUUACAGUGACAGCAUCUCCCAAUCACAGGAGACAACACAAGCCACCUCAGUCUCUGAAAGUCUUAGAACCCUGGAUCCAGACCUGUCAGGUCAUCUGAUUUUGAUGGGCACAGGCUGUGCCCAGUAGACGCUGCUUGCUGAAACGAUGUUCCUGGAGACCUUCAAAGUCAGCAU